CAGGAUGCCACUGUAGGAUUCUCAUAAAAGUUUUACUGACCCCUAGUGGAAGAUACAGAAGCUCUACCCUGCUUGCUUAUCUUGGUAUCUUCUGUUUUCUUUAAAGAUUUUCCUAAAGAAUGUGUGUGCCACAUAGAGACUCACACCCUGCCUUCUAGAGACUCACACUCCAGGAGGAGAAACAGACAUGGAAAGAAAUAAUCACCAUAAAACCGGCUCCGUGCUGUAAUUUACAAGGGAAGGAAGAGGCUACAUUUGUGCGGGUCCUUAUUAACAUUUGUAGAUCCAUUUAUAGAUGGAGUCACUGGAAGAAAAUGAGAAAUGAAAAUGUCAACUAUUGAAGAAUGAAGCUUCUCUCACCUGAUGUCAGCUGAAUAUUAUUUAUCAUCUGGCACUUCUAUGCAACUAUGGUACAGUAAUUAUUGGUGCUCACAAUGAUAAUCAUGAGACCCUGGAAGGUCUUAAAGUACCUGCCAACUCACUCAAGUGAGGUUAAAUCAUGUCCAGUCCUACUUCAGUGAGUUAAGUGCGUUUAUGAUAGUCUAAAUCAUUUAUAGUUGGUGAUCUGUGUAUAGUGUAUGGGCUAACUUGUUAUGAGCACACGAAUAAGAUGGACCAUAGAGCUAGUUAUCCAAAUGAUCCCUGGAUGCUCCAAGGUUGUUUCUUUGGUUGAAUUUCCUCUAUUUCUCUGAAUUCUGGUUUCUUGAGAUGUUUAGAGCAAGUUUCCAGCUCAUUUUCACAAUGCUUGUAGCCUUUCCAAAUAGGUAAAAGUGUAUACAUAUAUCUACAAAAGUCUGCAUGGCUGGGAACUCUGGCCUCCGUAAGCCAUUAUUCUGAAAACUUGCAAUCUAUACAAACUAAACUAUUCCUCCAAUUAUACACUCUGCAUGACAUUAGGCCAGCCCCAGAAUACCAACCUCCCAGCUAUUCUACCUCAACUUCUGUCUCUUCAGACACUUGCUUUCUUCAUUUCCCAGCGAGUGAUCACAUUGUAGAAGUGCAGGCAACUCAGGAACUGUAAAGAAAAAGGUAUAAAGAAGACUAAAUAUAUUUUGACAUAUUUCUAUGUAAAUUUCAGCAGAGGCCUUCUCUCUUUGAAAAUCUGAAUAUUUAAACCUCACUAAAGCACACUAGAAAUAUACAUUCUGGCUUUAAGUAAGUCCUGAGAAGGGAAUUGUCAUCAGAAGCAUAAUUCAUCGUUCUCUAAUUGUUCUCUCCUACUGAGGAUUUUAGCCUAUGAUAGCCUACCCUGGCUGCUGGCCCAAUAAUUCCUUAUGACACGGGAAAAAUGCAGACUUUAGUCCUGUUUAAGACUGGAUAAGCCUGGUUCCUUUCUUGUUCAUUUUGGCCUGUGGAGACUUGUUGCUAAUGGGAACCAUCCAUCAAAGACUGCUCUUGGCUCAACACAGACAGUCCCCACUGCUUUGUAAAGCUUCCCCUCCCCCUACCCCCUCUCCACCUCUAACCCCCACCAACUUCUCUACCUAAGCUCUGAUCUGACCUGUCACUGCCCCUUCCCCCACUUUGACUAGUCUGAUCUUGGAAUUUGUUGCAACAGGAACUGCCAAUUGCUGUAAAUUACAUGCCACCUUGACAAGGAGAAUGCUAAUCCUUGAAGGGUUUAGGAAGAGACUACCAAACUUGUUUUGUAGGUGAGAACAAGCUCCCUAGUCAAUUGGAGGUGACGUGACUUUCUACUGCACUAUGGACUCCCUUUCUUCCAAACAACAUGGGACCCCUGGGCAGGGGAAGGGGCCGCAAUGAAUAAGCUACCACUUGCCUGACCACAGCCCACUUCCUAUGUUCAUGGAUAAGAUCUCCUGCCUGCAGCCUUGAAAAACCUUUCAGGUAUUUCCCAAUCUGGUCUGGUGUUAUAGUAUCAGAUAGUUGUUCGACUGUGUACACUUUAAUUUGUGCAGAAUAUUUACUUAACGAACUGCAUUUCUUUGGAGGCAGGAGAGAAUAGUGGUUAAACACAACAGUAUUGGAGUCUGACUGCCUGCAUUCAGUUGUGGCUCUACGCCACACUGGCUCUGACUUCAGGCAAGUUACUUAAGAGCUCUAAGCCUCAGUUUCUUCAUUUGCUCCUACCCGAAAAAGAAUGAUGAUGACUACUUCAGAUGCAUAUGAGAUAAUGCAUAUAAAACACGUAACACCUUGCCCGCAUCCUGGAGGAGGUACUCAGUAAAUGUGGGGGUUUUUUUUCAAUAUUUUUUUUUAGAUGGAGUCUCACUUUGUCACCCAGACUGGAGUGCAGUGGCACGAUCUCAGUUCACUACAACUUUUGCCUCCUGGGUUCAAGCAAUUCUCUUGCCUCAGCCUCCCGAGUAGCUGAAAUGACAGGCGCCUGCCACCAAG
rnacentral:lncRNA from 10 species